rnacentral:rRNA from 1 species
AUUGAACGCUGGCGGCAGGCCUGACACAUGCAAGUCGAGCGGAUGAAGGGAGCUUGCUCCUGGAUUCAGCGGCGGACGGGUGAGUAAUGCCUAGGAAUCUGCCUGGUAGUGGGGGAUAACGUCCGGAAACGGGCGCUAAUACCGCAUACGUCCUGAGGGAGAAAGUGGGGGAUCUUCGGACCUCACGCUAUCAGAUGAGCCUAGGUCGGAUUAGCUAGUUGGUGGGGUAAAGGCCUACCAAGGCGACGAUCCGUAACUGGUCUGAGAGGAUGAUCAGUCACACUGGAACUGAGACACGGUCCAGACUCCUACGGGAGGCAGCAGUGGGGAAUAUUGGACAAAGGGCGAAAGCCUGAUCCAGCCAUGCCGCGUGUGUGAAGAAGGUCUUCGGAUUGUAAAGCACUUUAAGUUGGGAGGAAGGGCAGUAAGUUAAUACCUUGCUGUUUUGACGUUACCAACAGAAUAAGCACCGGCUAACUUCGUG